rnacentral:tRNA from 1 species
CAGGGCGAUAGUUUAAUUAGAAUAUUAGUUUUGGAGACUAAAGAUGGGAAGGGCAUUCUCUCCUCUGA